rnacentral:lncRNA from 1 species
AAAUGUUUCUAAAUAUGUGACUUUAUUUUGAUAUUAAAAAGAUUCAUUGUAUUUCAUGUAUACAUUACUGUGAAUCUAUGAGUAAGAAAUUAAAUUCUAUGAACAUUCACUUGAAUGAUCUUCUAUAUCUCUUUCUGCAUGAUUGUUGCUUCCAUCACUAAAAGAAAAACUAUUUUUAAAAGAGUGAAUGAUCUUAAAGCUAGAAACAUCUCAACUCACUCAAAUGACUCUUAAAAGAAAGAAAAUGUAAUUGCUUUUGAAAGAAAUUGAGCUUCAAAUGAAUUAUUUUCUGAUUAAUAUUUCAAAAUAUUUUCUUAAAGAUUAAGAGGAAGCAUAACUUGUUCUUGAAAGAUUAAAAAGAGUGAUUGCUAUAAAUUUUGAAUAAUUCUAGAUUACUCUACAUUCUUGAUAUCAUAGAAUUUCAGUUUUAUUCAUGCUUAUCAUCAAAAUCUGAAAUUCAACAAAAAGAAAAGAAUGAUUAAAGAAGAAUGCAUCUUUUGAGGGGGAGCUUUAGAUAUUUAAUCUAAAUGCAUUAUGUAUCUUAUUCAAAAGUCACUUUCACUUGAUGCAUUCCUUGAAUGUUUUAUGGAUUGAUUUUGAUGAACCUCUUUGUGUUGCCAUUGCUUGCCUUGAGUUGAGUUCUCAUUAGUGUAAGCUGUGCUGAAACUUAUAAAAAAAUAUAUUUUCGAGAUUGACAAUUUGAAUGUUUUAUUGAACAUUAUCUUCAAAUUCUAAACUCUUAAGUGGAAUGAUCAAUUAAGGAGGAGAAAGAAAAUUUCAGGGGGAGAGAUCAUAUGAAACUUAAUCGCAUAAAUCCAUAACUAAAGCAGAGAGAAAGAAUACUAAAUGAGAAGUGAUCCUAACACUCUCCAUUAUGUAUCAUCUGAAAUUUAAAUCUGAAAAUCUUUUUGAUACACUUUGAAGCUUGCUAUUUGGUUAAUAUAUCUUGUGCAUCCAUCAUGGACCAAAUUGCAAUUCAAAGUUGAUCUUACGUGCCUCUUAUUUAAUAAAAAAGGAGGAG